UGGGGAAUAUUGGACAAUGGGCGCAAGCCUGAUCCAGCCAUGCCGCGUGAGUGAUGAAGGCUCUAGGGUUGUAAAGCUCUUUCACCGGUGAAGAUAAUGACGGUAACCGGAGAAGAAGCCCCGGCUAACUUCGUGCCAGCAGCCGCGGUAAUACGAAGGGGGCUAGCGUUGUUCGGAUUUACUGGGCGUAAAGCGCACGUAGGCGGACUAUUAAGUCAGGGGUGAAAUCCCGGGGCUCAACCCCGGAACUGCCUUUGAUACUGGUAGUCUUGAGUUCGAGAGAGGUGAGUGGAAUUCCGAGUGUAGAGGUGAAAUUCGUAGAUAUUCGGAGGAACACCAGUGGCGAAGGCGGCUCACUGGCUCGAUACUGACGCUGAGGUGCGAAAGCGUGGGGAGCAAACAGG
rnacentral:rRNA from 1 species